rnacentral:misc_RNA from 1 species
GCAGCAGCAAAAGCCAAAGCCAAAGAGGAGGAAGGAGUUCCAGAAUUGAAAAUAAUCAGGGGGGAGAGCUGGUUACCUUCUAUUGUGAAGGAAAUUCAAGUACUUUCAAGGAUCAAAUACAGUUAUCACUAACAACUUGUGUUCUUGGAUUAAUAUUUCUUGUGCAAACUCCAUUUGCUUUUCCAAUUAGUUCACUUCACCUUUCAGAUUGCAUGUAUUCUUAGGAUUCAUGUAAUUCCUUGUGUUCUCAAAUUGUUUCUAGCCAAGAAUUUUAUUUCAGUCAUUUAAUCAUAUGUCCGCUGCUUCUUUUUU